rnacentral:lncRNA from 1 species
AGAUAUAAAAACAAGGGAGAUAUAAAAACAAGGGAGAUAUAAACAAGGGAGAUAUAAAAACAAGGGAGAUAUAAAAACAAGGGAGAUAUAAACAAGGGAGAUAUAAACAAGGGAGAUAUAAAGAAAGAAGAAACAGGACUGAAUAAACGUGUGCAGAAGGAUCCUGUUGCAGCAUCGUUCUUCCUGGCGAGUUGGGGGCGCGCUCGAGAGUUGGUGCCGAAACCCGGGAAAAGAAACAUCUUCAGGCAAGAGCGAAGACCCCCUGCUACAGGGAGGAUUCAGAACUGCAUAACAGGGAAGAAGGGGUUAAUAAAGUGUUCCCGUAAAACAGACUGUUGAGAAGGAUCCAGCGUGGAUUCAGAACUAUUCAGCUGGGGAACGGUACUGAUGAAGAGAAAGAAGAAAGAUGAAGACUGAAUAAACUGCUGUUAGAAGGACUGGUGGUCGUGUCGUUCUUGCUGGUCGAGAGCGGGCGCGACAAUUGGUGGCCCGUACGGGGAACCGACUCCCCCACCGAGUUCAGAACUUUCAGCAGUCAGUGGUUGCUGGCAGGGACCAGACAGAACCUCUUUGGGUGCUGGAGAGAUUGGUGAGACGCUACAAGAAUGAGGCUCCUGAUCCAGUUGCCCCUGUGGAUGUGGUGGAUGAUCCCACAAGCACAAAGGAUGGAGCCGAGAUGAGAGAUCCUUUCGAAUCCAAACACUAAAUACAUGCCACCCCAAUAGACCACUUUCAUACCUGGAAUAUGCUGUUGACAUAGGAAAUCUGGGAACACAACAUUUAAACCUGCUUAUUCAGGCACCAAAACCUUCAGCUUGAUUUCCAUUAAGUAUUGAUGCUGUUGACAACUUUUUCAAUGACAGACUGCUAAGCACAUCGACUGUUCUCAGCAACUUUCCUGAGAGUUUGGUUUCUGUCCAACAAGAACAUGAAUCUUCCUUCUUCAUAGUCUAUAAUGAGAGGUGUGUUGGUGUAUCCAGUACUUGCUGUGGUGGGAGUACUGAGUUCUGAUGAUGCUGAGUGGUCUUGGAUUCUCUGAAGAAGAUUCUGCUCCUGAGGGAAAGCUGACAUAGUCGAGGGCGACAUAAUUCAUGGUGACAUCACUCUUCAAGGUGGUUCCAUGAGAAAGUAGUAACAAGGAGAGUUUCAUUGACUGACACAUUUAGAGAAUUUUUCGCCAUCUCUGUCCAUUAAUACAGGGUCGAAGAACUGCUGGAAACUGCAGUUUCCAUCUCUCAACAAAUGAUCAAAACACAGGAACCACCCACUCCCAGUGUUGGACGGGGGGUGUGCAAGGAGAGGGGAGGUGGAAGAAUGAGAGGCUAACAUCACUGAAAUCAAAACGGCAGAUUUUCUCACUGGGUCCAAUUUGACACCCAGCUUUUCAGUUCUUCUAAAAUCCUGGUAGUUCUUGGCUGGUGAUCACUGGAUAAGAUCAUAAAGAUAAAAUGAGGCUCCUCAUUUCCUGGGAAUAAUUAAACCCAACAAAAGCAAUAUUCAAAUCAGAAGAUUACUACACAAUAGAUAAUUAUGUGCAUCCAGUUUUGUCUCCCAGCACAGGACACCUAAUGAGACCUUCAGGGACACUAGCUCUGAGAGUCUCCUCUCUGUUCCAGCUACCACCAUGCCCUAAUAGUUUCCAGUGCUCUGCAGUGAUGAAUACUAUUCAGCACUGUUUUCCUCAAAUACAAAUGUUAAAUACUUAUCUUCCUGUUUGAACAUGUUUCCAUAUUAAUGAGACAGAGGCUGCAGUUAAUUGUUUUGUUAAAUGCAAAUGAUUUUAAUUCUUCUAAAAUAUAUACACAGGCAGACUUCACUGUAAAAUUCUAAUUUGAAUUGUUUGCUAUUAUACUGAAAUAGAGGUUGUUCUAGUUUAAUUCAGCAGUGGGUUUUACUUCACUAGGAGCAUAAACUCAAUUUACUGAAGCUAACUUAAUAUUUAUUCAAAUUAAAGGAUUUAUCCAGUCUAUAAUGCAUGAGUCAUUGGCUCUAUUUAUUUGGGGUCAUUUUAAUUAAUGUAAUGAAAAAAAUUGUUUGACAAUGUCAAACCACAAGUACCACAUUUCACUGUUGAAAUUAGGCCCAUCUUGUUCUUAAUUCAUUUUUCCAUUAAAAGUUUUCAAUACUU